rnacentral:rRNA from 1 species
AGAGUUUGAUCCUGGCUCAGAUUGAACGCUGGCGGCAGGCCUAACACAUGCAAGUCGAACGGUAACAGAAAGCAGCUUGCUGCUUUGCUGACGAGUGGCGGACGGGUGAGUAAUGUCUGGGAAACUGCCUGAUGGAGGGGGAUAACUACUGGAAACGGUAGCUAAUACCGCAUAACGUCGCAAGACCAAAGAGGGGGACCUUCGGGCCUCUUGCCAUCGGAUGUGCCCAGAUGGGAUUAGCUAGUAGGUGGGGUAAAGGCUCACCUAGGCGACGAUCCCUAGCUGGUCUGAGAGGAUGACCAGCCACACUGGAACUGAGACACGGUCCAGACUCCUACGGGAGGCAGCAGUGGGGAAUAUUGCACAAUGGGCGCAAGCCUGAUGCAGCCAUGCCGCGUGUAUGAAGAAGGCCUUCGGGUUGUAAAGUACUUUCAGCGGGGAGGAAGGGAGUAAAGUUAAUACCUUUGCUCAUUGACGUUACCCGCAGAAGAAGCACCGGCUAACUCCGUGCCAGCAGCCGCGGUAAUACGGAGGGUGCAAGCGUUAAUCGGAAUUACUGGGCGUAAAGCGCACGCAGGCGGUUUGUUAAGUCAGAUGUGAAAUCCCCGGGCUCAACCUGGGAACUGCAUCUGAUACUGGCAAGCUUGAGUCUCGUAGAGGGGGGUAGAAUUCCAGGUGUAGCGGUGAAAUGCGUAGAGAUCUGGAGGAAUACCGGUGGCGAAGGCGGCCCCCUGGACGAAGACUGACGCUCAUGUGCGAAAGCGUGGGGAGCAAACAGGAUUAGAUACCCCGGUAGUCCA